rnacentral:lncRNA from 1 species
AUGAUCUGGUUUCCAAGAAAUGCUUUGUCUCCAGGGAUGUUCUAUUCCAUGGAACUUGUUUUCCUUUUAAGAAUAAACCUUCUUCUGUUCACCCUUCUCCUUGAUCCUUUCCUUCUAUUCCUCCUGCUGAGCAUUCCACUGACACAGAUUUUCCUAUACAUGCUUCUUCCCCUCCUUCCCCUACAUCUGCUCCAACAUCUGAUUCUCUUGUUCCUGAUUUUACUGAUGCUGCUCCAUCUUCUCUACCUUCCUUCAAUCCUGGUAUCUCUCCCCCUGUUUUAGCUUCUUCACACCCUCUUCCUACUUCUAGCAAGUCCACUAGACAGCAUAAUCCUCCUUCCUAUCUUAAGGAUUAUGUCUGCCAACUCUCUGUCUUUUCUGGU